rnacentral:rRNA from 1 species
AGAGUUUGAUCCUGGCUCAGGAUGAACGCUAGCUACAGGCUUAACACAUGCAAGUCGAGGGGCAGCAGGAGCUUAGCUUGCUAAGCUUGCUGGCGACCGGCGCACGGGUGAGUAACGCGUAUCCAACCUGGCCCAUAGUAGGGAAUAGCCCGGCGAAAGUCGGAUUAAUGCCCUAUGUUCUCCGUUGAUGGCAUCUGAGAUGGAGCAAAGAUUGAUCGCUAUGGGAUGGGGAUGCGUCUGAUUAGGUAGUCGGCGGGGUAACGGCCCACCGAGCCUUCGAUCAGUAGGGGUUCUGAGAGGAAGGUCCCCCACAUUGGAACUGAGACACGGUCCAAACUCCUACGGGAGGCAGCAGUGAGGAAUAUUGGUCAAUGGUCGAGAGACUGAACCAGCCAAGUAGCGUGCAGGACGACGGCCCUAUGGGUUGUAAACUGCUUUUGCCGGGGAAUAAAGUGCGGGACGCGUCCUGCUUUGCAUGUACCCGGAGAAUAAGGACCGGCUAAUUCCGUGCCAGCAGCCGCGGUAAUACGGAAGGUCCGGGCGUUAUCCGGAUUUAUUGGGUUUAAAGGGAGCGCAGGCCGGAGAUUAAGCGUGACGUGAAAUGCCGCGGCUCAACCGUGGAAGUGCGUCGCGAACUGGUUUUCUUGAGUGAGUUCGACGCCGGCGGAAUUCGUGGUGUAGCGGUGAAAUGCUUAGAUAUCACGAAGAACCCCGAUUGCGAAGGCAGCCGGCGAGGCCUUUACUGACGCUAAAGCUCGAAGGUGCGGGUAUCGAACAGGAUUAGAUACCCUGGUAGUCCGCACGGUAAACGAUGGAUGCCCGCUGUCUGCGAUACAAUGUAGGCGGCCAAGCGAAAGCGUUAAGCAUCCCACCUGGGGAGUACGCCGGCAACGGUGAAACUCAAAGGAAUUGACGG